rnacentral:rRNA from 1 species
GACGAACUGUCCAAAACGUUGUUCGGAAUCACUGGGCUUAAAGGGCGCGUAGGCGGUCGAUCAAGUCAGGGGGUGAAAUCCUGCAGCUUAACUGUAGAAGUGCCUUUUGAUACUGGUCGUCUCGAGGGAGGUAGGGGUGUGUGGAACUUCCAGUGGAGCGGUGAAAUGCGUUGAUAUUGGAAGGAACGCCGGAGGCGAAAGCGACGCACUGGACCUCUUCUGACGCUGAGGCGCGAAAGCUAGGGGAGCAAACGGG